UGUAUGGCUUUGGGUCUGAAAAGGGGUCUGGUUCCCACCUAAAUCUUGAAAACCAAGGAAUUUAGUCAAGCGGUGGCGACAAUGUUGCAAUUUCAAGAGACUUUCUGGAUGAAUGGAGCCUAGGUUAAUUGAACUUCGUCUCUAAAAUGAAUAUGAAUACAGGUAUGUGUUCAAUAUUAUCUCGUAUAGUAAGGGUACUUAUAACAAUAUAUGAUCAUGUAAAUUACAAGUUUUGAGUUAGAAGUGGUCCAU
rnacentral:lncRNA from 1 species